GGCGGUGCUGCUCCCGAGUCGGCGCGCGGCGGGGACGCGAGUCCUUUCUCUCCUGUCACAAUGGCAUGAUCUCGGCUCACUGCGACCUCUGCUUCCUGGGUUCAAGGAUUCUCCUGCCUCAGCCUCCCAAGUAGCUGGGAUUACAGUUUCCAUCAUUAUCUUCUAUGGAGUUCUUCAUUCCCACAUCUGUGGACCUUAAAAUCCUACCGUUGAGUGCCUGCCUUGGAUCAGCAGUCAGUUCGUUACCUUGGUUCUCAGACGAUGCUUGCAACAACGCCAUGCGAUUCGCCCACUCUUGGGUUACAUUAGUUAUACACUCUGGAGGUGACUUGACCUGUCAUUGUGAACAAUUAUUGCUCUUGGACGACCCAGGACAUAGGCCAGCCAGUACGUACCCCAGUGUGUUGGAGAAUCGCGCUCGGCUUCUUCCUCUGUGCUGAGUCAUGAAAGUUGCCGGAGCAGGUGCAGUAUGAUCCUGUUUAAGGACUGGAUUUAGGAUAACUACUUAGAGGUUAAAAGUCACAAGGGUGUAUGGAUGAGGCUGGAGUGAUCUGGGACCAAAGACAUCUAGGCUUGCUGUCAAGGCUUCUGAUCAACAUGAGAUGACCGCCGUGUGGUAAACUGAUGAACCCUGACCCUGAUCAACAUGAGAUGACCGCCGUGUGGUAAACUGAUGAACCCCGACCCUGAUGAACGUGAGAUGACCGCCGUGUGGUAAACUGAUGAACCCCGACCCUGAUGAACGUGAGAUGACCGCCGUGUGGUAAACUGAUGAACCCCGACCCUGAUGAACGUGAGAUGACCGCCGUGUGGUAAACUGAUGAACCCCGACCCUGAUGAACGUGAGAUGACCGCCGUGUGGUAAACUGAUGAACCCCGACCCUGAUCAACGUGAGAUGACCGCCGUGUGGUAAACUGAUGAACCCCGACCCUGAUGAACAUGAGAUGACCGCCGUGUGGUAAACUGAUGAACCCCGACCCUGAUCAACAUGAGAUGACCGCCGUGUGGUAAACUGAUGAACCCCGACCCUGAUCAACAUGAGAUGACUGCCGUGUGGUAAACUGAUGAACCCUGACCCAUUAGGCUUUGGCUACAGAAUGUGGAAAUAAGUUGUGUUACUACAUGUGUGUAAUCCUAGGGUGCAGGACACCGGCCGGGAGGUUCCAUAGAGUGAUGGGUUCUGCAGGUAACUCAUCCUCUAGUCCUCUGUAAGCUCCUAGAAGGAAGAAAUUAUGUCCUUUAGACUAAUAAAAUUCCUCCAAACCAAAUACAGCACCUACUGUGAAGACACAAAGAUACUUUUAGAAUAGUAAAAACUUUAUCCAUUGAGAAAUUCCUUAAUGAAACAGUAUCCAAGAAGUCAUUUGCCAGCAGAUUUCUUAGAGGUGCGAUAAAGAAGAGGACAUUGCCAGUCGUCACAGCAGCUGCAAUAGCUCCUCUCUAUUGUUAAACAGUGGGAUAUCUUGUGCAGGUUUUCAGUUGACAAUCAAUUUUAAAGAUUAGUUUCGGUCCCCAUCAAUCAAUUAUUUAUUAACCCAUCAAUAAAAAUUUAAAUGC
ensembl:lncRNA LINC01128 long intergenic non-protein coding RNA 1128